GUGCAGCAGGCGAGAAACUUCACACUGUGCGAAAGCACGAUGAGGGAAUCCCAAGUGCUUGCACGUAAGUGUAAGCUGUUUCUCUGUUUAAACGCAGAGAGAGUAAGGGCUGGGUAAGACGGGUGCCAGCCGCCGCGGUAAUACCUGCAGCUCAAGUGGUGACCGUUAUUAUUGGGCCUAAAACGUCCGUAGCCGGUUUAAUAAAUGCCUGGGUAAAUCGUGUAGCUUAACUAUACGAAUUCCGGGUAGACUGUUAAACUCGAGACCGGGAGAAGUUAGAGGUACUCCUGGGGUAGAGGUGAAAUUCUGUAAUCCUAGGGGGACCACCAGUGGCGAAGGCGUCUAACUAGAACGGGUCUGACGGUGAGGGACGAAGCCCUGGGGCGCAAAACGGGGAUUAGAUACCCGGGUAGU
rnacentral:rRNA from 1 species